CAAUGGAGGAAACUCUGAUGCAGCGACGCCGCGUGAGUGAUGAAGGCCUUCGGGUCGUAAAGCUCUGUCGCAGGGGAAUAACACAAUGAAUGUACCCUGUAAGAAAGGAUCGGCUAACUUCGUGCCAGCAGCCGCGGUAAUA
rnacentral:rRNA from 1 species